UACGUAGGGUGCAAGCGUUGUCCGGAAUUAUUGGGCGUAAAGAGCUCGUAGGCGGUUUGUCGCGUCGAAUGUGAAAACCCGGGGCUCAACCCCGGGCCUGCAUUCGAUACGGGCAGACUAGAGUUCGGUAGGGGAGUCUGGAAUUCCUGGUGUAGCGGUGAAAUGCGCAGAUAUCAGGAGGAACACCGGUGGCGAAGGCUGGUCUCUGGGCCGAUACUGACGCUGAGGAGCGAAAGCGUGGGGAGCGAACAGG
rnacentral:rRNA from 1 species